CUUGUUAAUUAAAAAAAAUGUGUCAUGGAGAAGAAGAGUUGUCCUUCCUGCUGUGCAGAGAGCUGCUGACAUACUGAUGUUGCUGUGGUCAUGGUACUCCUCCAGAAAAAGUACCCCAAACCUCUAAGCAUUGACUUGAGAACCCACUGAGGUAUUUGAUGGUGUUGCUGGCCCCCAACAAGCUGUACAAUGUGGUUAAAAACACCCAGGAGCAGAAAUCCCACCAAAAAGUUAGCUCCCUGAAUGGGCUUGCAAACCUCGUGUUCAGCACACAAAGACCUCAACAGAGAAAAAGUGUCUGCCUGUGAAGGUGCAGAAGGCAGCUAACUAUUACCAUCUGCUCUCUGGAACUCAGUUUGCAGGAGGAGCCAGAAAACUGACACCUGUUUGGAAUAAGAAUGCACUGUAAAUCAUUGCCAAAUUAUGUUGAAAGAAGGGUAUGAGUGAACAAAAACUGAAAGAGGAGACAGAUGACUCAUUCCUCUCUAGCAGAAAAAUAAAGUGAGGUUCUCGCCAGUUUACAUUGUCUACUGAGAAACGCCAGUUGUUCAGCUUUGGCUGAACCAUGGUGUUUUUAAGGCAGACAUGAAGCAAAAGAGCCCAGGAAGAAGACCCUGAGGCUGAAUGAUGAAGGGAAUUUACCAUGUAAGAGGCAACCUGAGAAACUCCAGGCAGAAAACCUCCAGAGAGGAGUGCCCACCUCAGCCCUCAGCAGAUGGAGAGGACACAGCCAGCAGAAAAUGCAAGCACAAUUUCCAGUUCACUCAGCAAAUUAGCAAAAGUGUCUCUGUUGAAUAUGUAAGAGGGUUUAAGACCUUCAGAUUCCUUGACCAUACUUGAUUGUCGAGUUUUGCAUAUUUCUAGGAAUGAGGAGCCUGUGCAUGACUUCAAACACUUGGUACUGUAUGGAGUUGUGUUUAUUUUUAAAGUGUGGUGUGAGGAGGGAACAUUUUAACACAAGUGUUGCAUUUCUUUAGCUAAUAAUUGACAUGCUUUAACAUGCAUUUUCUGUGGGAACUGUGAGGAUUUAGUUACAUCCGUUGCCUUUGAUGUCAAAGAUUACCUUUUCCCCAUCUGCAAUUGCUCAUUUCUUUCCCACUUCCAUAAAUUCCUGCUUUAUCCAUUGUGUUGAGUGAAUGUUUGAAGAGCUGGACUUCAACCAGAUAGCCAAAAUGACAACAAACUGCAGCAUUUGGGCAAAAGCAUGCGGCCACAGACCAUGGCAGUAGAAAGUUGUCUUUGUUGCCAACACCCUCAUGUUGCUGAGCUCUGAGCUCAUUAGCAUGAUGGAAGAUACACUGUCAGCACAUCGAAUAUUGACCUUUCUCCUCAACAGUCCUAUGGUGCUUGUACACAGGUCUCAGAUCAUCUGCUGUGGUGACCCCAACAUAUUAAAAAUUAUCAGUUUCAUAUAAAAUCUGUACAAUGAACCUUCUUGGUGUAGGCAUUUCCAUUCUGAAGGCAUGAGAUCAGACAGCUGACACAAAGAGAUGUCUUGAGAUGGGUCAGUCAUUUACAGAAAUUCCUUAGGAUAAUAAGAAACUUGACAUGAGAAAUCAGAGGCUGCAAACGCUAAAAUCAAAUUCAUUGGGAAACAAGGCAAGUGUUUUGAUUAUAUUCACCCCUGCUCUAUGAAGUAGGUUCUUCAGGGCCUUCCUUCAGAAUUUAAGCUAUCCACCUAAAUAGUACUUCUUCCACAAACCUGAAACAACCAUGUCACUUGACCAGCAGCAGUGCAAUGAGGCCAGGACAGGAACAGAGCACUAUAUCAACCUCCAAGGCAGCACAUUUUCCCCAGGUGGGUUCUGUCCAGGGAUGGAAGCAAACUGCACUGUGCUGUGACAAUGCUGGUCCCCCUGCCAGUUCCAGGUUAUUGAAUAAAUCCUCAUGAGGGGAAGAACUAUUCACAGUGUUCUUCCUUCCUGAAAAUAAUCAUGCUUUGAUUUAGGUUGCUUCUUUUUUUUUCUUUAAUCUCACUUUUUUUUUCUUUCUUUUUUUUUUUUUUUUUUUUAAAUCUUGUGUGCUACUGCUUUAUGUUGAUAAACACAGAAAACAUCAGUGAGUGUAUAUUAAGUAAGAUAGGCAAAUGACAUCAUAGCUCCUGGAUUGCUUUUAGUGAUGUGUUCAAAAUGUUGUUAUCCUUUCAGACUCACUGAAGGGCUUAUAAAAUGAACAUGACUGUGCAUAUGUAUAUUGUGUGCAUACAUACAGAUAUGCACACAUGCACCACAUGUACACACUUACUGGCAUAUUUUUAUGAUACUUUUAUCCUCCAGCUAAAGUGUAUUUUUUUUUUCCUCUGGAUAAUUUGAUACAUUCUCUACAUCUAAAUCCUGCUUGACUCAGUUUAAAACUUCUAUAAGCUCUUUAUACUCUCAGGGGAAAAAGAGAAACUAAAGAAAAUAUACUGUCAACCUAAAAGACACAUAGCAAUUGACUUCUGGCCUUAAAAAAGAGGAAAUUCAAGCAUGUAAAGCAUGUGUGCCAUGUACAUCUGUCCUUGGCCCAUGAUUAUCUUCCCAAUCAGCUUCACACAGGAGUGUUUCAGCAGCUGCUCCCUCACCGUCCUUUCCACCUCACCAGGUACUUUCCCUCAUGAAACCCUUUUCUUCCCUCCUGUCCUCCAACUCUUUGACUCCCUUUAUCUUUUCAGCUUCCUUAAGUGGAGUGACAUGACUUGUCAUUAGAGUGCUACCCCUGUCAGGAUGAUCAACAGGGGUCCUUCAGGUGUUUGUCAUAUAAAAGGGAGAACAGCAGACCUGGGGUGAGAGGUGAUCUGUCCUCUCUUGCUUCUUCUCAGCUCCUGCUGGGGAAAGCACUGGGAUGAAGAGGCUUUAUAGAGAAAGCUCCCAGGAUUCUACUUAUAGCUCAGGCUUUGGUGAGUCACUUUCUAUGGUACAUAACUUUUGACCAAAAUCAGUAUUAAAGAAUAUACUCAUGUGCAAUUCUCAGAGUCAAGCUUUAUGAUUCCAGGUAGAGCUCAUAUCUUUUUAUUAUUCUGUAUAUGUGAAGAAAUACUGUUGAAAGGGAAAUGUGAAAAGUAGCACUUCUAAAUCCUCUGGUGUGCUGCAUACAAUUACACAGACAAGAUGUAUAUAUUUUAGCAUUAGUGUUUAUUUUAGGGAGGAUUUCCAUAGUUUACUGCAAGAUGCUUGAAAAUUCAUAUUCAUAAUUCGUAUGAAAAGCUACAUAUUAAGAGUUAACACUGUAUUCAUACAAAUAGAGCAUAUAUAUGAGCUGAUGUAUUUGCUUUUUAUUUUUUUUUUUCCCCAGAAUUAGUAACCUGAAAAGUUAAGGUUCUACUUGUGCAUUUGAAAUAGCAUAAUGACUGUCUUU